CUGAGAGGCAGGCAGAGAGAGGAGGAAGCAGGCUCCCCACUGAACAGAGAGCCCGAUGCGGGGCUCUAUCCCAGGACCCCGGGAUCAUGACCCGAGCCGAAGGCAGAGGCUUUAACCCACUGAGCCACCGGGCGCCCCUACAUAUUAUUUUAGUCCUUUUUCUUCUUACUUUAAAAGAAAUAAAACAGGUCCAUAGGUAAGGAGUCUAGUGGAGAGAGUGCCCAUCUGUGUGUUGAAAGCUAAGGACAAAGGCACUUCUAGAGGGAAAUUAUUCUGGGAUUAGCCAGGACUUUUGACUUCUGCAAUGUUCUUUGGUAGCUUGCUGUCAUGCCCACAGUGGUUUAUGUGUACUAGUCUCAUGGAAGCAACACACCAGCCCUCUGUGUUAAUUACAAUUAUUAUUUCUCAUUUUACAGAAGUAACCAAGGCAUACGGGGCUGAAAUUAAAGCUCAAGUCAUACAGUUACUAAAUGGGUUCCCCACUGACCAGAUCCAACCACAACAGCAGGUACUGGAGUCCAUGACUCAUUGCCUACCAGCCAGCCCCACCGCACACAGCAAGCUUGAGAGAGGACCUGAGAGGCAAUGGAAGAGACCCAUGACAUGUUCCCAGCCCCCAGCUGGAAAGGUAUCUGCCCUGUCCUAUCCAUCUGUGUAUCUUCCACACCUAGCACAGAGCCUGGCACCGAGGGAGGGCUCCAUAAAUGUUGAAUACGCAAAGAUCUCACUUAGUAAAGGUCUCAACUGCAAAUCGCACAGAGAAAAUAAAUUUCUUAAUCUAUUAUCAGCUGGUGCCGUGGGGUGGUUUGUGGCAAGAAAGAACAAGUUUCAGCAUGAGAAGCUGGAAGUUAAUGUCCCCUGAGGAACAUGUACUUCCCAGUUUUAUUUUUUUGGAGGGGGAUCAGGGUGUCAUCAGUCAACGAAACACACAGCAGCUUGCCCUAUAGAGAAGAACAAUUCCUACCAGAAGUUCACAAGAGUCUGCCAUUCCUUUCUCUUUUGCAGCAAAGCUAACGCGUAACAACCAAAAGUAACGACAACAUGAUUUCCUGCAAAUUAUAUAGGAGGCAUCAAACAGAAAAGUGUGUUGGAAAAUUAAAUUUAGCAGGUCAAGGCAGCAGCACAGAACUCCCAGCUGUUUGCAGCUCUGCUGUGUUGAUGGACUGACACAGGGCAGCCAUCAGACAUGGACAGGGUGACCGAGUAGCAGACCCCAGCCCCAUGUCCUGUCUGCUCUUGCCACUCCAUUUUCACAGCCAUCCCAGGUCACUUCCUCUUUCAACCUGUCGUACGCUGAGGAAAUGGGGGAAAUUGUUCCGGCAGCACUUUUUAUCACAUACUUAUUCUCUACCUGGAUGUUCAAAGCCUUUUGAUGAGAAUCUCACAUUCUGCCCUUAGUGACACACCAUAACCCCUUGUAAUUGGUUCUCAAUCCUGUACCUACAGCUCCUCUCACUGUCAAUUGUUAAAGAGGACCUUCUGCCUUCAUGUCUUCACUUCGUUGGGAAUUCUCACUUCUUCUCCUACCUCAUAGGCACUCAAGGAAGACUUCUCAUUAAUAAUCCACUUAGCUAUACCGUGUCUCCAUAGUAACUCUAUACCUGGCUCAAAGUUGAUGGCAGUUGUGUGCAGUGCCUAGGCUUCUCUCAGCCACUAAUCCUGCAGAUGGAUGAUUUUAUUCCAGCCCCGCAAAGCCUAGAGAGCUCUGCCCUCCAUCACAGGUCAGCAACGUUUCCCACUUGCUCCCUCGUUCCCCUUGGCCUCCAAACGCAGUGCAAACCGAGUUCCUCUGGGCACAGUGCGCAUCAACAGAGACCGCUCUUCAACUUCAGAAAUGUCCUUGGCACAAAGCGUACAAGCCUAUCAGCCACCGGAUGUCUCCCUCGUGUCCGUCUUGCAGGGCCAUGGAGGAGAUCUUGGUGGCCCUACACAGGAGGCCCGCCACAGCGUGGAUCUGUCUGUUCUGAAUCAUCCUGUGUUAGGGAGGGAGUAAACAGUCCUCCAUCGGUGCCCUGAAGCCAGAGCCAAAGACACAGGAAUUUAUGGAUUAAUUCCACGUUUCCUUCUCUGAGAUCCUUGCUGUUGCACAGCUCUAGGUAAAUGGUGCCCCCUGGGGCCGUCAGAUGUGGUGGGCCUGGUGCGGAACAUUGUCUUGAGCCCUGCAGGUCCAGUGGCUGUGUUGUUCGUGUGAUGCAUUCUUUGGUCUUCCCCACCCUGCUCUGUGUCCCAGGAAGCACAUCUGUAUGGAUUGCAAUUCCUUUGCCUUCCAAAUUCCUUUUCUUUUCUCUCUUUCUUUUUUCUUUUUUUUUUUUAAGAUUUUAUUUAUUUGACAGCGAGAGCUCAAGCAGGGUGAGCAGCAGGCAGAGGGAGAUGGAGAGUGGGCUCUCCACUGAGCAGGGUGCCUGACGCUGUUCUCGAUUCCAGGACUCUGGGAUCCUGACCUGAGCUGAAGGCAGAAGCUUAAUUGACUGAACCACCCAGGCGCCCCGCCCCCACCCUCCAACUUCCUGUAGGAUAAUGGGGAGCACCGGCAGGAGACUGGAAGGGGGAAUGGAGAAGACUGGCCAGCAAAUUUGCUUCCCUGCCAGGUGGCUGCCAGUUUGCCACUAAGAGCCCCGGGGCCCCUGUCAGGCAGCCUGUCCAUUCAACGCCCUUCUCUGAGUUACGGAUGGCAAACACGGAUGGCCCCGGUGUGACUGGCCCCAGGCUAUUGUGCUCUCCUUGGUUCCCCUCAUCUUUCUAAGAGGUUCCCUC
rnacentral:lncRNA from 1 species